rnacentral:sRNA from 1 species
CUCACUCGCGCGUUAGGAGGCUCGGGUCGUUGUGGUGCGCCGUGUUCCCGCUUGCGUCAGGGACCUGCCCGACUCAGUGGAAGCGGGGAGAGGUGGUGAGAGAUGACCCCUGUUGAGGAUUUCAUUGGUGUCUGCCACAGGCCGCCAUGGCAUCAGAUGAAGGCAAACUUUUUGUUGGAGGGCUGAGUUUUGACACCAAUGAGCAGUCGCUGGAGCAGGUCUUCUCAAAGUACGGACAGAUCUCUGAAGUGGUGGUUGUGAAAGACAGGGAGACCCAGAGAUCUCGGGGAUUUGGGUUUGUCACCUUUGAGAACAUUGACGACGCUAAGGAUGCCAUGAUGGCCAUGAAUGGGAAGGUGAGGAUCAGGGUGCUGAGCGGGAGUCCCAUCUCGAGGAUGGGGCACCCACCCGCUAACCCGUCCCGCCCUCUGUCUCCAGUCUGUAGAUGGACGGCAGAUCCGAGUAGACCAGGCAGGCAAGUCGUCAGACAACCGAUCCCGUGGGUACCGUGGUGGCUCUGCCGGGGGCCGGGGCUUCUUCCGCGGGGGCCGAGGACGGGGCCGUGGGUUCUCUAGAGGAGGAGGGGACCGAGGCUAUGGGGGGAACCGGUUCGAGUCCAGGAGUGGGGGCUACGGAGGCUCCAGAGACUACUAUAGCAGCCGGAGUCAGAGUGGUGGCUACAGUGACCGGAGCUCGGGCGGGUCCUACAGAGACAGUUAUGACAGUUACGGUAAGUCACACUCCGAGGGCGCCACGCUGCUGUGGCCUGCGGUGGGAGCUCGGUUCACCUUGGUGCCCUCUCCAAGCACUUUAGGCUGGACACUCAGACCUUGUCACUGUGCUUGCCCAGAAGAGGCGCAUCUGUCCUCAGAGCCAUUUCUAUCGCAGGAUGCAAAAGCCAAAUGAGACUGACCAAAAAGGCAAGGGAGAGCGAGGGCCCGCUGGGCAGUCAGCUAGGUGCAUGUGUGGCCACAGGCCAGCCUCCCUCGGCUGUGGGGGGUGGUUGCUCCCCGGCCGCAGGCCGCGCCCUGGUCUGGCCUCUGGGGUGAAGCUGCCUCUCGUUGCUUCGGUGCCUUUACACUGUGCCUGCUUCUUGUCCUCAGCUACACACAACGAGUAAAAACCCUUCCUGCUCAAGAUCGUCCUUCCAAUGGCUGUGUGUUUAAAGAUUGUGGGAGCUUCGCUGAACGUUAAUGUGUAGUAAACGCACCUCCUUGUAUUCCCACUUUCGUAGUCAUUUCGGUUCUGAUCUUGUCAAACCCAGCCUGACCGCUUCUGACGCCGGGAUGGCCUCGUUACUAGACUUUUCUUUUUAAGGAAGUGCUGUUUUUUUUGAGGGGUUUCAAAACAUUUUGAAAAGCAUUUACUUUUUUGACCACGAGCCAUGAGUUUUCAAAAAAAUCGGGGGUUGUGUGGGUUUUUGGUUUUUGUUUUAGUUUUUGGUUGCGUUGCC